rnacentral:rRNA from 1 species
AUUGAACGCUGGCGGCAUGCUUUACACAUGCAAGUCGAACGGCAGCACGGGUGCUUGCACCUGGUGGCGAGUGGCGGACGGGUGAGUAAUACAUCGGAACGUGUCCUGAAGUGGGGGAUAACGCAUCGAAAGAUGUGCUAAUACCGCAUAUUCUCUGAGGAGGAAAGUAGGGGAUCGAAAGACCUUAUGCUUUUGGAGCGGCCGAUGUCUGAUUAGCUAGUUGGUAAGGUAAUGGCUUACCAAGGCGACGAUCAGUAGUUGGUCUGAGAGGACGACCAGCCACACUGGGACUGAGACACGGCCCAGACUCCUACGGGAGGCAGCAGUGGGGAAUUUUGGACAAUGGGCGCAAGCCUGAUCCAGCAAUGCCGCGUGAGUGAAGAAGGCCUUCGGGUUGUAAGACUCUUUCUAGUCGAGAAGAAAAGGAC